UGGAUAGUGAAAACCUAUUUCAGAAAAAGUG
rnacentral:piRNA from 1 species